GAUGCGUUCCAAAUGUUGACAUAGAUUUAAAUUAUUUGUAACAAAAUCAACGAACUGUAUCUUCGUCGCUUCCUUCGACAGCCACGCCCCCUUUUCUGCUCGCCACCAUCCUUCAGUCUCCUCACGCCCCAAGGUCCCAUAGCUGAUUUGAUUGCCGAGCAAAAUGUUUAAGCAAACACCACAAGACGAGCAUCUCAAAUGCUCUUUUCCAGAAUAUCUAUACAAAGUG
ensembl:ncRNA lncRNA:CR45724 long non-coding RNA:CR45724